rnacentral:rRNA from 1 species
UACGGGGGGGGCAAGCGUUGUUCGGAAUUACUGGGCGUAAAGGGCUCGUAGGUGGCCAACUAAGUCAGACGUGAAAUCCCUCAGCUUAACUGGGGAACUGCGUCUGAUACUGGAUGGCUUGAGUUUGGGAGAGGGAUGCGGAAUUCCAGGUGUAGCGGUGAAAUGCGUAGAUAUCUGGAGGAAUACCGGUGGCGAAGGCGGUCGACUGGGCCAGUACUGACGCUGAGGCGCGACAGCGUGGGGAGCAAACAGG